rnacentral:tRNA from 1 species
AUUGUUUUGGCAGAUUAGUGCAUUAAAUUUAGAAUUUACUUAUGUAUGGGGAAUACAAGCAAUA